rnacentral:rRNA from 1 species
GAUGAACGCUAGCGGCAGGCCUAACACAUGCAAGUCGAGGGGUAACAGGGUAGCAAUAUCGCUGACGACCGGCGCACGGGUGAGUAAUGCAUAUGCAACCUUCCUUUAACUGGGGCAUAGCCCGGAGAAAUUCGGAUUAAUACCCCAUAACAUCAUUGAAAGGCAUCUUUUGAUGAUUAAAGCUCCGGCGGUUAAAGAUGGGCAUAUGUGCCAUUAGCUAGUUGGUGAGGUAACGGCUCACCAAGGCUACGAUUGUUAGGGGGUCUGAGAGGAUGAUCCCCCAAACUGGUACUGAGACACGGACCAGACUCCUACGGGAGGCAGCAGUGAGGAAUAUUGGGCAAUGGGCGCAAGCCUGACCCAGCCAUGCCGCGUGAAGGAUGAAUGCCCUAUGGGUUGUAAACUUCUUUUGUACGGGACAAAACUCCUGGUCGUGACCGGGAUUGAUGGUACCGUACGAAUAAGCAUCGGCUAACUCCGUGCCAGCCGCCGCGGUAAAAC